GUGGGGAAUAUUGGACAAUGGGCGCAAGCCUGAUCCAGCCAUGCCGCGUGAGUGAUGAAGGCCCUAGGGUUGUAAAGAUCUUUCACCGGUGAAGAUAAUGACAGUAACCGGAGAAGAAGCCCCGGCUAACUUCGUGCCAGCAGCCGCGGUAAUACGACGGGGGCUAGCGUUGUCCGGAAUUACUGGGCGUAAAGCGCACGUAGGCGGACAUUUAAGUCAGGGGUGAAAUCCCGGGGGUCAACCCCGGAACUGCCUUUGAUACUGGGUGUCUGGAGUAUGGAAGAGGUAAGUGGAAUUCCGGGUGUAGAGGUGAAAUUCGUAGAUAUUCGGAGGAACACCAGUGGCGAAGGCGGCUUACUGGUCCAUUACUGACGCUGAGGUGCGAAAGCGUGGGGAGCAAACAGGAUUAGAUACCCGUGUAGUCC
rnacentral:rRNA from 1 species